rnacentral:rRNA from 1 species
UACGGAGGGAGCUAGCGUUAUUCGGAAUUACUGGGCGUAAAGCGCACGUAGGCGGACUCUUAAGUCGGUGGUGAAAUCCUGGAGCUCAACUCCAGAACUGCCUCCGAUACUGCGAGUCUCCGAGUCCGGGAGAGGUGAGUGGAACUGCGAGUGUAGAGGUGAAAUUCGUAGAUAUUCGCAAGAACACCAGUGGCGAAGGCGGCUCACUGGCCCGGUACUGACGCUGAGGUGCGAAAGCGUGGGGAGCAAACAGG